rfam:Scotophilus bat coronavirus 512, complete genome
AUCUUUCUUGUUCAUGAUCUUAACAUGGCUGCUGGGCAUUGGAAUCUUCCAAUACUAGCGGUCUUGGUCUUGCACACAACGGUAAGCCUGUAAUAAUGACAGUGCAAGCAGGUUAUUAUUAUAUUGCAGCUACGAGGCGAACGUAGUCUUUUACAAUUAUUUCAUAGCAUGAGUAAUCAAAGAUCCGCUUGACGAGCCUAUAUGGAAGAGCAUGCAUGAAAAAUUGUAUAUUUGACUAUCUAGUAACUGAAGACCUAGCUGCUUUGAUAGGGAUACG